CUAAAGUCUAUAACACA
rnacentral:tRNA from 2 species